rnacentral:rRNA from 1 species
AUCAACGCUGGCGGCGUGCCUAACACAUGCAAGUCGAACGAGAAAGUCCGCAAGGAUGAGUACAGUGGCGACCGGGUGAGUAACACGUGACUAACCUACCUCCGAGUGGGGAAUAACUCCGGGAAACCGGAGCUAAUACCGCAUAACAUCGCAAGAUCAAAGCAGCAAUGCGCUUGGAGAGGGGGUCGCGGCUGAUUAGCUAGUUGGUAGGGUAACGGCCUACCAAGGCGAAGAUCGGUAUCCGGCCUGAGAGGGCGCACGGACACACUGGAACUGAAACACGGUCCAGACUCCUACGGGAGGCAGCAGUGGGGAAUUUUGCGCAAUGGGGGAAACCCUGACGCAGCAACGCCGCGUGGAGGAUGAAGUCCCUUGGGAUGUAAACUCCUUUCGACCCGGACGAUACUGACGGUACGGGUGGAAGAAGCACCGGCUAACUCUGUGCCAGCAGCCGCGGGUAAUACAGAGGGUGCGAGCGUUGUUCGGAAUUAUUGGGCGUAAAGGGCGCGUAGGCGGUGUGGUAAGUCACCUGUGAAAUCUCCUGGCUCAACUGGGAGCUUGCAGGCGAAACUGCCGUGCUGGAGUGUGGGAGAGGUGCGUGGAAUUCCCGGUGUAGCGGUGUGAAAUGCGUAGAUAUCGGGAGGAACACCUGUGGCGAAAGCGGCGCACUGGACCACAACUGACGCUGAGGCGCGAAAGCUAGGGGAGCAAACAGGAUUAGAUACCCUGGUAGUCCUAGCCCUAAACUAUGGAUGCUUGCUGUGAUGGGUACCCAAUCCCAUCGUGGCGAAGCUAACGCGGUAAGCAUCCCGCCUGGGGAGUACGGUCGCAAGGCCGAAACUCAAAGGAAUUGACGGGGGCCCGCACAAGCGGUGGAGCAUGUGGUUCAAUUCGACGCAACGCGAAGAACCUUACCUGGGCUCGAAGCGCAGUGGAAUCCGGUGGAAACAUCGGCGCCCGCAAGGGCCGCUGCGGAGGUGCUGCAUGGCUGUCGUCAGCUCGUGUCGUGAGAUGUUGGGUUAAGUCCCGCAACGAGCGCAACCCUUAUCGUCAGUUGCCACCGGGUCAAGCCGGGCACUCUGGCGAAACCGCCUCGGAUAACGGGGAGGAAGGUGGGGAUGACGUCAAGUCCUCAUGGCCUUUAUGUCCAGGGCUACACACGUGCUACAAUGGUCGGUACAAACCGUCGCAAACCCGCGAGGGGGAGCUAAUCGGAAAAAGCCGGCCUCAGUUCGGAUUGGAGUCUGCAACUCGACUCCAUGAAGCUGGAAUCGCUAGUAAUCGCAGAUCAGAACGCUGCGGUGAAUACGUUCCCGGGCCUUGUACACACCGCCCGUCACAUCACGAAAGUGGACUGCACUAGAAGCCGGCGUGCCAACCGUAAGGGGGCAGCCGUCCAAGGUAUGGUUCAUGAUUGGGGUG